rnacentral:rRNA from 1 species
GCGAACAGAUAAGGAGCUUGCUCCUUUGACGUUAGCGGCGGACGGGUGAGUAACGCGUGGGUAACCUACCUAUAAGACUGGGACAACUUCGGGAAACCGGAGCUAAUACCGGAUAAUAUGUUGAACCGCAUGGUUCAAUAGUGAAAGAUGGUUUUGCUAUCACUUAUAGAUGGACCCGCGCCGUAUUAGCUAGUUGGUGAGGUAACGGCUUACCAAGGCAACGAUACGUAGCCGACCUGAGAGGGUGAUCGGCCACACUGGAACUGAGACACGGUCCAGACUCCUACGGGAGGCAGCAGUAGGGAAUCUUCCGCAAUGGGCGAAAGCCUGACGGAGCAACGCCGCGUGAGUGAUGAAGGUCUUAGGAUCGUAAAACUCUGUUAUUAGGGAAGAACAAACGUGUAAGUAACUGUGCACGUCUUGACGGUACCUAAUCAGAAAGCCACGGCUAACUACGUGCCAGCAGCCGCGGUAAUACGUAGGUGGCAAGCGUUAUCCGGAAUUAUUGGGCGUAAAGCGCGCGUAGGCGGUUUUUUAAGUCUGAUGUGAAAGCCCACGGCUCAACCGUGGAGGGUCAUUGGAAACUGGAAAACUUGAGUGCAGAAGAGGAAAGUGGAAUUCCAUGUGUAGCGGUGAAAUGCGCAGAGAUAUGGAGGAACACCAGUGGCGAAGGCGACUUUCU